GUAAAGAGAAAAGAAGAAAAAGCCAAGUCAAAAAGUAAAGAAUAACUCGAAGGAAGGAGUGGAUGGCAAGAAAUACAGGAAAGCAGUGCAUAGCACAGCAGAGCAAAGCAAGGCAAAAUAGCAGCCAAAGCCACGAGAAUCAAGAAGUCAGUGAAGAGCAGGAAAGAAAUGAAAAAAAGAGAAAAAGAGAAAAGAAAAAAGAACAUGAACAAAAAAGAGAAAAAAGAGAAAAGAUAAAAAAAGAAAAAAGAUAAAGAAAAGAGAAAAGAAAAAAAGAAAAUAGAAAUAAAAAAGAGGACAGGAAAUAUGAAAAAAAAAAAAAAAAAAGAA
ensembl:lncRNA